rnacentral:sRNA from 1 species
AAACAUUUCGUUAAUAAUUCGGGCAUCUGCCUAAAAUAAAAUAAAUGAUUAAUUACAUUAAAGAUAAAAGUAAAUUAAAUCAGGGUAUACAAAUAAAGUGCAAAGUGUGUGAAAAGUGAAGCAAAUUCGCGACAAGUACGAAAAAUUAGCUGACCCCCAUGGCCCUUCUUCAAUUUCCUUUUUUUAUGCCAAUUACUUUUUUAAUUGCGACACUUUCAAAAAUCAAGAAAAAAAGUUCAUCAAUGUGUGCAAAAAGUGAAAAGCCUUUUGCGAAAAAUGUGAGUGCCAGCCGUUGCUAAUUGAAGUUCAAUGGAAAAAUGACCAAAAGUUAAUGAUGACAUUUCGCCGGCAGAAAAAAAUAGCAAAACACAAUACGUAAAGCAGCACAAAUAGGAAUGGAAACGAAAGAGUAUAAGAGCUGCUGAUUUGCUCUGCGCGUAGAUUUGAGAUUUGUGGAUUGAAAUUUUACACCUCAUUUGGAAAAGUCGAGCAUUGACAGCUUUGCGAUAGUUCGACUUCAUGGAAAGUGGAGAUAACAUGGAGGGCAUGAAACUUGGAGAUGAGGGUUUGACAUUUGGAGAUGUAGCUACUAGCUACUAGCUACUCCUAUUACAAUCUACUCAAAUUGCUACUCAAAUUUGCAGAAAACAUCGAUACAUUUAUGACAUUUAUGGUUGUCUUAGAAUCGAUUAAUAUCGAUAACAAACUUUCUUAUAUCUGAUGAUUUUAUGAGCGAAAGUCUACAAUUUGCUGUGGGUUAAUGUGGA